rnacentral:rRNA from 1 species
UUAACCCAUAGAACUGCAUUGGAAACUGGUAACCUAGAGUAUGGGAGGGGGGAGAUGGAAUUAGUGGUGUAGGGGUAAAAUCCGUAGAUAUCACUAGGAAUACCGAAAGCGAAGGCGAUCUCCUGGAACAAUACUGACGCUAAGGCGUGAAAGCGUGGGGAGCAAACGGGAUUAGAUACCCCGGUAGUCCACGCCCUAAACGAUGUUCACUAGUCGUCGGAAUGCUAGUCAUUUCGGUGAUGCACUUAACAGAUUAAGUGAACCGCCUGGGGAGUACGGUCGCAAGAUUAAAACUCAAAGGAAUAGACGGGGACCCGCACAAGUGGUGGAGCAUGUGGUUUAAUUCGAAGAUACGCGAAGAACCUUACCUAGCCUUGACAUUGAUUGAACACUUUAGAGAUAGAGUGGUGCCCUUCGGGGAACAUGAAAACAGGUGCUGCACGGCUGUCGUCAGCUCGUGUCGUGAGAUGUUGGGUUGGUCCCGCAACGAGCGCAACCCUCGUCCUUAGUUGCCAGCAGGUUAUGCUGGGCACUCUAAGGAGACUGCCUUCGCAAGGAGGAGGAAGGUGAGGACGACGUCAAGUCAUCAUGGCCCUUAUGGCUAGGGCUACACACGUGCUACAAUGGGGCGUACAGAGAGUUGCGAUACCGCGAGGUGGAGCCAAUCUCAUAAAGCGUCUCUCAGUUCGGAUUGAAGUCUGCAACUCGACUUCAUGAAGCUGGAAUCACUAGUAAUCGUAGAUCAGCAAUGCUACGGUGAAUACGUUCCCGGGUCUUGUACUCACCGCCCGU